rnacentral:piRNA from 1 species
UGGGACCCACUUUCAAGAAAAAUAGAAAC